CGGGGGGUAGCUCAGUCUGGUAGAGCACUCGGCUGGGGGUCGAGCGGUCGCAGGUUCAAAUCCUGUUCCCCCGACCA
rnacentral:tRNA from 1 species